rnacentral:rRNA from 1 species
ACUCCUACGGGAGGCAGCAGUGGGAAGUAUUGCACAAUGGGCAGGCAAGCCUGAUGCAGCCAUGCCGCGUGUAUGAAGAAGGCCUUCGGGUUGUAAAGUACUUUCAGCAGUGAGGAAGGUGGAGUCGUUAAUAGCGGCCUCAUUUUGACGUUAGCUGCAGAAGAAGCACCGGCUAACUCCGUGCCAGCAGCCGCGGUAAUACGGAGGGUGCGAGCGUUAAUCGGAAUUACUGGGCGUAAAGCGCAUGCAGGUGGUUUGUUAAGUCAGAUGUGAAAGCCC